GAUGAAUAACGCAGCGAAAUGCGAUAAGUAAUGUGAAUUGCAGAAUCCAGUGAAUCAUCGAAUCUUUGAACGCACAUUGCGCCCGCCAGCAUUCUGGCGGGCAUGCCUGUUCGAGCGUCAUUUCAACCCUCGACCUCCCCUUGGGGAGGUCGGCGUUGGGGACCGGCAGCACACCGCCGGCCCUGAAAUGGAGUGGCGGCCCGUCUGCGGCGACCUCUGCGUAGUAAUACAGCUCGCACCGGAACCCCGACGCGGCCACGCCGUAAAACACCCAACUUCUGAACGUUGACCUCGAAUCAGGUAGGACUACCCGCUGAACUUAAGCAUAUCAAUAAGCGGAGGA
rnacentral:misc_RNA from 1 species